CCGUGAAAAAAUUAGAGUGUUCAAAGCAGGCAGAUCCAAUUUUCUGCCACCGAAUACAUUAGCAUGGGAUAAUGGAAUAGGACCCUGUCCUCCUAUUUUCAGUUGGUUUUGGCAGCGCGAGGACUAGGGUAAUGAUUAAUAGGGAUAGUUGGGGGCAUUAAUAUUUAAUUGUCAGAGGUGAAAUUCUUGGAUUUAUGAAAGAUUAACUUCUGCGAAAGCAUCUGCCAAGGAUGUUUUCAUUAAUCAAGAACGAAAGUUAGGGGAUCGAAGACGAUCAGAUACCGUCGUAGUCUUAACCAUAAACGAUGCCGACCAGCGAUUAGGAGACGUUGAAUACAAAACACCACCAUCGGUUGCGGUCGUCCUUGGCGUCUCGGUUUCGGCCGGGGCGCGGGGAUGGCUA
rnacentral:rRNA from 1 species